GCGCCGGUGGUCCAGUGGUAGGACAGUGGCUUCCCAAGCCACUAGCCCGGGUUCAAUUCCCGGCCGGCGCA
rnacentral:tRNA from 2 species